rfam:Clostridium fallax strain DSM 2631 genome assembly, contig: Ga0131101_114
AAAACCUUUAAUUUGAUCCAGAGAGAUCAAUAAGGAAGUUAUAUAAUGCUAUGUUAAUAAUAGAGAUUAUACUAUGCCUUCCUUAAAGGAAGGCAUUUUUUUAU